GGGCGACCGAGGCGCUGGGUCGGGGUCCCCUAUGGCCGGAAAGGGAAGCGCUAGGGCCGCUGUCAGGUCGGAAGGACGCUCCCUGUGAGGUUGAGAAACUCGUGUCCACAUCAGAGGUACAGGAAUAGAAACCCAGAAACAAGCUUACAUGUUUCAAUGACCAGAAAUGAGUCACCGGGUCUCUGCUUACAACGGAAUCAGUCAAAGGUCUGCCAUGCUUGAUUUGGCUAAAAAGAUUGACCUUGGAUCCCUGGAGUUCAGGCAGAGGAUUUGCAUUUUGAAAACUUCACUCUGUGUGGAGAACAGAUUGUAGGAGCACAAGAGUUCAGAUGACACUGCAUCGUGCUUUGACAAACGCUGGCACCAUAUUCGUGAACUACCCAACCUCUGGAACCCCAAAC